GAAGUUUUUCCGAUUCGACCAGAAAAAUAGCACGAACGUUUCUUGCGCAAAACGAUUCUCUACACCCUUUCGAAUUCAAUGGAACGUAGUGUCUAGAAGUGUCACGGCAUACUCAGCGAUGUCGGGGGCAAAGCGCUUAUAAAUAUGAGGGGUGCACUAAUGACUAUCUGUGUGUGCCGCCGAGCGCGCAAAAUGUUUUCUUACUUAAAUAGUUUUGGUAACAAUAAUUGGUUUAUUUGUUCAACGAGAAAAAAGUCCCUAUGUUGCAUAAUAUAACGAUGACAAUAUGUAAUCGUGUGCACGAUUAGCAUAAAAAAGUAUCAAAGUGAUACAAUAAAAAAAUACAAUAAGAAAGGAACGAGUAAUCGGAAAAUUAAUUAAAGUGAUAAUAAUAGAGUAAAAAAUGGAGUACAGUACAAAAAUAUCGGAAAACAAUAAAAUUGUAUUACGAUUUAUAAUAGUAUGAGUAGGAAAACAAAUAUUGAGAUAAGGAAGGAUAAGAAGAUAAGACGAAAAGGAAGAACGAAUAGCGAUGAUAAGGGAGAUUUUAGAAGAGGUGCACGAACUACAAAAAAUGUCAAGUGGGUGAAAUACUGGUUUGAAAGUAAGAGAACACGAUUCAAAUAAUUAUGGUAACCGUGAUAUGUACGGUGAGUUUUGCGAAAAAAAAGAGAUUCUAUCUCGUAUUGAAUAUUUUUUCAUACAUUA